UCCUGCACCUACUGCGACCUGCCCAAAUCUGGGGAUCAGACGUGUGGAUGGGAACCGGAGGACUGUCACAAAGGUCAUUUUGUAGCCUUGUUCCUCAGGUGUCUGGAAGAGAAGGAGCUGGUAGACAGCCUAUUAUUUCCCUCCUUCUCCACCUCUCAUGGGGUGAAUCGGCAGGUACAAGCUCUUUGAGAAAAAUAGCGGGUAGAAGGGACUACGCGUUCACCACCGUCUCUCUGGGACCUUGCUCUGGACUGAAAUCCCCUGAGAACUGCACCUGAGUAGAAGGCUGUACUCCUUCAAGCUUUUUCUCUGAAUCAUUAAUGAAGGAGGUUCUGGGAAGUCUUCGCCUACACAGCAGGGAAUUCCUGAGGAACACUUUUCAGAGACGAAUCGACUCACUGCGGUUGCACCUUAUCCAUUGACCAGUGAAUCAGGGAGGACAAGAACCCAAUGUGCUGGUAACAAUUACAAUAUUUGAGUAUCCUUAAAACAUAAGGGAAAUAUCAAGAGUGAGGAAGAAGCCAUUCUCUUCUAAUAGUGUCCUUCCCUGAACCAUUCUCUGUGACCAGAAGACAGCAGAAUCACCCAUGCUGGGUCACAUGGACACCCCCAAAGAGGCAGAAAUGAACAAAAAUGGGUGUCCUCUGAAAGAAGUGUGGAACUAUAAAAGAAAUCAUAACUAAAUUGGAGUCGAGAAGGCCUGUAGGGGGAGGUCUCAUGACCUACCACAUAUGGUCAAUUACAACAAACAGGAAGAAACCCAGGGCUUGCAUCUUGGACAGGAAGUAAAACUAUUUUACUACUGAAUGAAGACUUCUCUCCCCACCUGGCAACAGCCCAGCCAAAGAGGAACACAGCAGCUCAGCCAAUGAGAAGCCAUUGCUGCUGGGAACUGUUACUUUCCCCCAAUGGACUUUCUUUUAGAAGCCCCCUCCCUACUCUCCUUUUUCUCUCUAAAGGCAGCUUGCCUUCCUUGUUUGUUGGAUUUGCCUAUGGUUUGCCACAGCAUGCACAUCCCAAAUUGCAAUUCUUUUGGCUAUUCCUGAAGAAAUUCGGUUUGAGGCUUUUCAAGUCAACGGAAGCAACUGAGACAGCAAUUUCUCGUGAUUUUACAACCCCCACAUAUCAGUUCCUCAUGAGGCCAAUUACAUGAGGUUGUGGGUUUGGUGCAGUAAUCCUGGAUCCUUAUAUUAAGUUGCACUUCUCUACUUACACAGAUUUGAGUGGCUUUUUGUUCAUCACAACAGAAGGAGCGUUGGCUAAACCAGGAGACAAUGGAUCUGGGCUCUAAUUUUAUAUAAGAGGAUAUUUGUUGAGGAAUUCUGUUUAACAGUGGGGAACUGGGAGCAGUUUAAAUGCACCAAACAGGCAAAGGUUCAGUAAGUGAUGGUGCGGUCAUACACUGGAAUGGCAUCAGCUAUUAAAAAGCCUAUUUUCAGAGACAUUAAAGAUUGGGAAAAUGUACAUGACAUUCUUUAGGAUGAAGGGGUCUUGUGCUUAGUCAUCUCUUCCUCUGAGGUUGUAAUUUCUAUUAUGUCUCACUUCUUGCCAUUUCCCUUGAUUUGCUUAAAACACAAUUCAUAGGCACUCACAUAGAUGAGACGUCAUCAAACAUGCAGGGGUAUGAUGGCAAGGGGUUUGCAUCACAGGCUAGUGGGACUCAUCAUGGCAACAAUGUAAAACUGCAUGUUUUACAGUCUUGUUCUUGUCCCUCAGGAAUUCCCAACACUGGGAACUUCUCAAUGGCAUUGCUCUCCCAGGUCCUAGCCUUCUCUGAUCUUGAUGGAACCUUUCUCUUUCUCACCAGUCUUUGCUUACUCCUGCUCCUGGCUCCUUCACUCUUCUCUUAGGCUCCUACAUUGUCCAUGGAAUUUCAAAAUCCUUUUACUUAUUGCAAAGCAAUCUAAUUUUGUCAUUCUUCUGCUUUCCAUACUAUGUCCUGGGACCCAUCACUACACAAUGAAAUAAUCCAUUAAGGAACAAAAGAUAGUUCUCUUGUCUAAGAAAACUUCUGCUUCCAUCUUUUAAAUAACGUCUGUUUAUUCUCUCUACUACGUCUACCUCCCUCCGCCCCAGCCCCCACUCCCCCAAAAAGAAC